GACGAACGCUGGCGGCGUGCUUAACACAUGCAAGUCGAACGGAAAGGCCCUGCUUUUGUGGGGUGCUCGAGUGGCGAACGGGUGAGUAACACGUGAGUAACCUGCCCUUGACUUUGGGAUAACUUCAGGAAACUGGGGCUACUACCAGAUAGGAUCUCCUGCUGCAUGGUGGGGGUUGGAAAGUUUCGGCCGUUGGGGAUGGACGCGCGGCUUAUCAGCUUGUUGGUGGGGUAGUGGCUUACCAAGGGUUUGACGGGUACGCGGCCUGGGAGGGUGAACGGGCACAAGGGGACUGAGAGAGGGCCCAGUGUGCAAUGGGAGGCAGUAGUGGGGAAUAUUGCACAAUGGGCGGAAGUGUGUGGCAGCAACGCCGGGUGCGGGAUGACGGCCUGCGGGGUGAAAAAAGCUGUCGGCUGUGACGAAGCGUGAGUGACGGUAAUGGGUAAAGAAGCACCGGCUAACUACGUG
rnacentral:rRNA from 1 species